rnacentral:rRNA from 1 species
GACGAACGCUGGCGGCGUGCUUAACACAUGCAAGUCGAACGGAAAGGCCCUGCUUUUGUGGGGUGCUCGAGUGGCGAACGGGUGAGUAACACGUGAGUAACCUGCCCUUGACUUUGGGAUAACUUCAGGAAACUGGGGCUAAUACCGGAUAGGAGCUCCUGCUGCAUGGUGGGGGUUGGAAAGUUUCGGCGGUUGGGGAUGGACUCGCGGCUUAUCAGUUUGUUGGUGGGGUAGUGGCUUACCAAGGCUUUGACGGGUAGCCGGCCUGAGAGGGUGACCGGCCACCUUGGGACUGAGAUACGGCCCAGACUCCUACGGGAGGCAGCAGUGGGGAAUAUUGCACAAUGGGCGGAAGCCUGAUGCAGCAACGCCGCGUGCGGGAUGACGGCCUUCGGGUUGUAAACCGCUUUCGCCUGUGACGAAGCGUGAGUGACGGUAAUGGGUAAAGAAGCACCGGCUAACUACGUGCCAGCAGCCGCGGUGAUACGUAGGGUGCGAGCGUUGUCCGGAUUUAUUGGGCGUAAAGGGCUCGUAGGUGGUUGAUCGCGUCGGAAGUGUAAUCUUGGGGCUUAACCCUGAGCGUGCUUUCGAUACGGGUUGACUUGAGGAAGGUAGGGGAGAAUGGAAUUCCUGGUGGAGCGGUGGAAUGCGCAGAUAUCAGGAGGAACACCAGUGGCGAAGGCGGUUCUCUGGGCCUUUCCUGGCGCUGAGGAGCGAAAGCGUGGGGAGCGAACAGGCUUAGAUACCCUGGUAGUCCACGCUGUAAACGGUGGGUACUAGGUGUGGGGUCCAUUCCACGGGUUCCGUGCCGUAGCUAACGCUUUAAGUACCCCGCCUGGGGAGUACGGCCGCAAGGCUAAAACUCAAAGGAAUUGACGGGGCCCCGCACAAGCGGCGGAGCAUGCGGAUUAAUUCGAUGCAACGCGUAGAACCUUACCUGGGUUUGACAUGGAUCGGGAGUGCUCAGAGAUGGGUGUGCCUCUUUUGGGGUCGGUUCACAGGUGGUGCAUGGCUGUCGUCAGCUCGUGUCGUGAGAUGUUGGGUUAAGUCCCGCAACGAGCGCAACCCUUGUUCACUGUUGCCAGCACGUUAUGGUGGGGACUCAGUGGAGACCGCCGGGGUCAACUCGGAGGAAGGUGGGGAUGACGUCAAGUCAUCAUGCCCCUUAUGUCCAGGGCUUCACGCAUGCUACAAUGGCUGGUACAGAGAGUGGCGAGCCUGUGAGGGUGAGCGAAUCUCGGAAAGCCGGUCUCAGUUCGGAUUGGGGUCUGCAACUCGACCUCAUGAAGUCGGAGUCGCUAGUAAUCGCAGAUCAGCAACGCUGCGGUGAAUACGUUCCCGGGGCU